UACGAAGGGGGCUAGCGUUGCUCGGAAUCACUGGGCGUAAAGCGCACGUAGGCGGCUUCUUAAGUCAGGGGUGAAAUCCUGGAGCUCAACUCCAGAACUGCCUUUGAUACUGGGGAGCUAGAGUCCGGGAGAGGUGAGUGGAACUGCGAGUGUAGAGGUGAAAUUCGUAGAUAUUCGCAAGAACACCAGUGGCGAAGGCGGCUCACUGGCCCGGUACUGACGCUGAGGUGCGAAGGCGUGGGGAGCGAACGGG
rnacentral:rRNA from 1 species